rnacentral:lncRNA from 1 species
CUGGUGCAAAGCUAUUAGGACCUAAUUCUGACAACAAUAUACAUCAUUAUAGUGGGAUCUGAUAAAGAGCAAACACUGGAGGCAUUACAUGUCUUUAGAAGAAUCAGGCUUCCUACCUUAGCAAGAGUGAUAGAAGGUCUCUUUGUAGAGGUGAAGAAAUGUGGUGCAGCAGUGGAGCAGCUGGCUGGAUCCUGUCUCAGUACCAGCACUUUAUUCAGAAGAUCUGAUUUAUGCAGACAAGUCACCUCUUUGCAAGAAACUGGGAAGAGUGGGGAGGAUUGUGUCCAUUUGUUCACAUCCUGAACCCUUAAAAAUAUUUAUCACAGCAAAUGCAAUUUGGAUUAUUUUGGGUUGGAUUGUCAGAGGUGCUGUAGUUUGUGACAGCACCGAGCAGCUGGAAGAAGCUGAGGGCAGGUUCAGUUGUGCCAUGUGUAGGUGCUGUUUCAGCCCCAGAACUGCACAGCAGAGCUCUCUCCUCUGCCACUCCUGCCUCAGGUUGAAAUAACCCAGCUCUGCUUCUCUCCCUUAUCUAUAGCUGAAAGCAGGUCUUUGCUGCUUUAGUGGGCUUAGCUCCAAAACUUACUGAGCAGGAACAGGAGCAAUUUAUAAAGUUCCUCUGGAUGUACCGAGCAAGUUUUUAAAACUUGAUCUCAGUAGAAUUGCAGCCAUUGACUGUGUGGGAUGGCUGGGAAAGAGCAGGAACAUUUCAAUCCCUGGAGCAGGUGACAUAAGUUUGUUGUGGCAUUUUCCUUCAUGAUGACAAGGACCUCUGCAAGCUGAUGACAGUUAGAGGCAGCCAGGUUCCAGUUUUGUAAAAAGAAGGCAUUCUGGGGAUUGUAGAUAUCACCUGCCCCAAAAACCCCUGAGGGACAGAGGCACCUAUGUGGACUCAGACUCUGUGCACAGCAUAAGUCUACAUCCUAGCCUCCAAAAGACUUCUAAAACUCAUUUUGGGUUUACAGGGCAAAAUUGCAUGAAAAAUAGUUGUUAUGUGUGCAUAGUGGAGAAGGCAGAGGAGAGAAAGAGGUGUCGAAAAACCAAAAGAUGAACCAAAUGCAACUUGUCACAGGUCUGUCCAAGAAAACUAAGGCUGGCUCUGGCAGUUGGCUAAACUCAAUAUUUGUACUAUUCAAAGUAUUUCCUAGGGUAAUUGUGGAGAAAUACAAGGAAAUACUAUAUUUUUAGCCAGAGCUGCUGGGAGGUAAUGAGUGCUUCCUUUGAAGCUGGUUUGAGUUUCAGGCACUCAGUACCUGGCAGGAUCUGGCCUGUGUGGAGAGCUCAUUUGUGUUGAAUCACACUGACAUGACAAUAUAGGACACACACAAAGAUGGAAAGAAAAAUCCACGAA